rnacentral:rRNA from 1 species
UACGGAGGGUGCGAGCGUUGUCCGGAAUUACUGGGCGUAAAGGGCGCGUAGGCGGCCAGCACAAGUCAGUUGUGAAAUCUCCGGGCUUAACUCGGAAAGGUCAACUGAUACUGUGCGGCUAGAGUGCAGAAGGGGCAACUGGAAUUCUCGGUGUAGCGGUGAAAUGCGUAGAUAUCGAGAGGAACACCUGCGGCGAAGGCGGGUUGCUGGGCUGACACUGACGCUGAUGCGCGAAAGCCAGGGGAGCGAACGGG